GAAGUAAAAUUAUUUAUAAAACACAAAUGUAGUUAAAAAUAAUAAUAUGGAAUAUGGAUAUGUGCGGUAAAAAUCCUUAAGUAAUCAUAUUUGUAGCACUUAAGUCCCUAUGUAGUAUUUCUUUUUAUCCAAUCCGGAAUUGACAUGUGGCACCGUUAAUAUAAUUAACGGCCAGAGACCAAUUGCAUACCAAAAUACUAACGGCGGGGACUUUUGCCACCAAAAAAAUUACUUACGGACUUAAGUGCUACAACAUGAUUACAUAGGGAUUUUCGCUGCAAUUCUCCCAAUUAUAUAUAUACACACACUAGUUCCAAUAAUUAUCUGACGGUGAAUUGCAUUGAUUAUUGAGUAAUGAAUGUUUCUUAAGGUUCCAAAUGUUCUAACUGAGGUUGUAGCUCAAUUUCUAAAGGUUGCAAAGAUUGUUAAUGAGGUUGCACCUCGGAUCCCAAAGGUUAUAGAAUUAACAAUAGUGGUUGCUCCUCAUCUUCCAGAGGUUGUAGUUUUUGCAACAGAUGUUGCAAAUGUUCUCUUAGAGGUUGAACCUCAUAUUCUAACUGUUGAGCCUCAUGUUUCAAUGGUUGCAGAUUUUGCAUCAAAGGUUGUAAAUAUUUUUUAGAGGUUGCAGCUUAAGUUUAAUAUACUGCAGAGAAUUCUAAAGAGGUUGCACAUCAAAUUACAAAAGUUGAAAAUGUUGUAACAAAGGUUACAUAAAAUGCUAAAGAGGUUGCAUAGAUUGCAUAAACUAGUUUCAUGCUCUUCAAUAUAGUUGCAAAAAUCUCUAAAAUCAGGUUGCAUUUGGAUGAUGUGGGUUGCUUGAGAUUGCAUCUUGUUGCGUCUGGUUUUGUUCUUAAGGUUUACUUUUUUGUUCUAAUUGUUGUAAUAUUGGUUUGUCUUAAUUUGUUUAUGCAACACGUUAAUGUGUUUUUUUUUAUUAUUUGAGGAAGAAUAUGAUAGUUGUACUAUCAAGUUUAUUACAACUUGUUCCAAUUUUUAGACUAGAAUCAGUUCUAUUUAUGAGACAUAUAUAAAUUAGAAUUGUAAUUUUUGGGCAUUGAAUUCCAAUCAAUAUGUUGCAGAAUUUACCAUGGGUUAUGCCUUGCCUUGCAACAUUUCUUGGUC